CAGGACGAACGCUGGCGGCGUGCCUAACACAUGCAAGUCGAGCGGGGACAUACGACGGACAGGAAGUUUUCGGAUGGAAUGGAAGAUGUAUGUUCUAGCGGCGGACGGGUGAGUAACGCGUGAGCAACCUGUCCCUUACAGGGGGAUAACACAGCGAAAGCUGUACUAAUACCGCAUAAGACCACAGAGAGACAUCUCACAGGGGUCAAAGGAGCAAUCCGGUAAGGGGUGGGCUCGCGUCCGAUUAGAUAGUUGGUGAGGUAACGGCCCACCAAGUCAACGAUCGGUAGCCGACCUGAGAGGAUAAUCGGCCACAUUGGAACUGAGACACGGUCCAAACUCCUACGGGAGGCAGCAGUGGGGAAUAUUGCACAAUGGGCGCAAGCCUGAUGCAGCAACGCCGCGUGAGCGAAGAAGGUCUUCGGAUCGUAAACCUCUGUCUUUGGUGAAGAAGAAAGUGACGGUAGCCAAGGAGGAAGCCACGGCUAACUACGUGCC
rnacentral:rRNA from 1 species